UAACGGCCGUUUUCAAUAACCUAUCUAUCCCUAGUUUCGGUUACUAAAGAUAGACAAAUCUAUAUUUUUGUCCUUACUUACGUUCCAAUAACCUAUCGACGGGCAGCAGUUCCUAUCGGAUUUAUCUAUCCAUCGUCGGGAGGACGGAUAGCCUGCUAAAGAUAGAACGCUCAUACAAAUCGUGCUUACUUCCGUUUCAAUAUGAGUUUUAAGUAACUCUCCGGUAGGCGGCGCUAUCUCUAGUAUGGGCAUUCGCUUAUCUGUCAAAAUCGGCCGGUUACAUGUUUAUCUUUCGAAAGUAAAUCGCUAUAAUUUAAUAAUUGUUUCUCUUCAUAUUGGCAUAUUGUAGCAGUGAUGAUAGUGAUAUGGAAUUAUUUCAAAUGAUAAUGGAUUGUGAUGCAGAUAGUGAUAGUGAGGCCGAUAUCAUAUGGUUAGGAAAAUAAAGAUCGUCUGAAUUACAUGGCGAAGAUCAAUAAUUACGAAUUUGACUAUAGAUUUCUGAGCAAAGGUGUUGUGAAUGAAUUGAUUAAUUUAAUGAGACCAUAUUUGAGUGUAACGUCAAAAAGAUUCAAAUAUAGGAGAGGAAUUUAGAAAUAGAAAAAGAGUAUUUUGAAUGUGUAAUUUGUGUGCAAUGCAUCAUUGAUGUUUCAAAAUGUUGUUGCAUGAUGGCCUGGGUCUACUCAUGAUACAACGAUAAUUAACCAUUCCGAUUGAAAAGAUGCAUUGGUGUUUUUAAAAGAAGACUCCCUGUAUAUCAUUGAAAAGUAGAUUAAAACUAGAAAAUAUGCAAGCUGUUAUUAUAGCUGCCAUGCUGCGUAAUAUCGUCAGAAGUAUGAAUUUAGAAGAAUUAGAAUCAGAAAUUUCAGUCACAGAUACAUUACAGGAAAAUAAUAUAAUUGUUCGUAACAAUUUUUCAAAACUUACAUCUGAAAUACAACUAUGUACUUAUAAAUAAUUGCUUCCAAAGAUAAUUUAUAAAAUAAACUCCAAAGAUAA